rnacentral:rRNA from 1 species
AUUGAACGCUGGCGGCAGGCCUAACACAUGCAAGUCGAGCGGAUGAAGGGAGCUUGCUCCUGGAUUCAGCGGCGGACGGGUGAGUAAUGCCUAGGAAUCUGCCUGGUAGUGGGGGAUAACGUCCGGAAACGGGCGCUAAUACCGCAUACGUCCUGAGGGAGAAAGUGGGGGAUCUUCGGACCUCACGCUAUCAGAUGAGCCUAGGUCGGAUUAGCUAGUUGGUGGGGUAAAGGCCUACCAAGGCGACGAUCCGUAACUGGUCUGAGAGGAUGAUCAGUCACACUGGAACUGAGACACGGUCCAGACUCCUACGGGAGGCAGCAGUGGGGAAUAUUGGACAAAGGGCGAAAGCCUGAUCCAGCCAUGCCGCGUGUGUGAAGAAGGUCUUCGGAUUGUAAAGCACUUUAAGUUGGGAGGAAGGGCAGUAAGUUAAUACUUUGCUGUUUUGACGUUACCAACAGAAUAAGCACCGGCUAACUUCGUG